UUGCAAUCAGCUGCGAAAAUUUACUAUGUGCAAUCCCAUGAUCCGGUCAAUUGGUUUGGUGCGUUUGAAAAAUGUGCUGCUCUAAACUUGCAAAUGGCGACUGUCAACUCAUGGGAAGAACAGCAACAGCUGGAAGGUGGCAUUGAAAAUUCAGACCAAGUUUGGUGGCCCAGAUGGAUUAGUGCAAAUGACCUUGCAUCCGAAGGUAAUUACGUAUGGAUGUCUACUGGACAACCACUGGACUAUACACAUUGGGCAGAAAACGAACCCAACAACGAAGACGGCCGUCAACAAUGCGUUCGCGCUUGGCCCAACGCGACCAUUGAUAGCUUUGCUUGGGAUGUUAUUGCCUGCGACUAUCUUCAUAACGUUGUUUGCGAAACAAAGCCAUAAAAAUUGUAUCUACUGAAAAAGUAAAAAUAUAUAAAUUUUAACAGUU